UAAACAGCGAAACUUGCGGACGGCUCAUUAAAUCAGUUAUCGUUUAUUUGAUAGCACCUACUACAUGGAUAACUGUGGUAAUUCUAGAGCUAAUACAUGCUAAAAAUCCCGACUUCGGAAGGGAUGUAUUUAUUAGAUUAAAAACCAAUGCCCUUCGGGGCUCUCUGGUGAUUCAUAAUAACUGCUCGAAUCGCACGGCCUUGCGCCGGCGAUGGCUCAUUCAAAUUUCUGCCCUAUCAACUUUCGACGGCUGGGUCUUGGCCAGCCAUGGUGACAACGGGUAACGGAGGGUUAGGGCUCGACCCCGGAGAAGGAGCCUGAGAGACGGCUACUACAUCCAAGGAAGGCAGCAGGCGCGCAAAUUACCCAAUCCCAAUUCGGGGAGGUAGUGACAAUAAAUACUGAUACAGGGCUCUUUUGGGUCUUGUAAUCGGAAUGAGAACAAUUUAAAUCCCUUAACGAGGAACAAUUGGAGGGCAAGUCUGGUGCCAGCAGCCGCGGUAAUUCCAGCUCCAAUAGCGUAUAUUAAAGUUGUUGCAGUUAAAAAGCUCGUAGUUGAACCUUGGGCCUGGCUGGCCGGUCCGCCUCACCGCGUGCACUGGUCCGGCCGGGCCUUUCCCUCUGGGGAGCCGCAUGCCCUUCACUGGGCGUGUCGGGGAACCAGGACUUUUACUGUGAAAAAAUUAGAGUGUUCAAAGCAGGCCUAUGCUCGAAUACAUUAGCAUGGAAUAAUAGAAUAGGACGUGUGGUUCUAUUUUGUUGGUUUCUAGGACCGCCGUAAUGAUUAAUAGGGACAGUCGGGGGCGUCAGUAUUCAAUUGUCAGAGGUGAAAUUCUUGGAUUUAUUGAAGACUAACUGCUGCGAAAGCGUUCGCCAAGGAUGUUUUCAUUAAUCAGGAACGAAAGUUAGGGGAUCGAAGACGAUCAGAUACCGUCGUAGUCUUAACCAUAAACUAUGCCGACUCGGGAUCGGGCGAUGUUAUUUUUUGACGCGCUCGGCACCGUAUACGAAAGUAAAGUUUCUGGA
rnacentral:rRNA from 1 species